UACGUAGGGUCCGAGCGUUGUCCGGAAUUAUUGGGCGUAAAGGGCUCGUAGGCGGUUUGUCGCGUCUGCCGUGAAAGUCCGGGGCUCAACUCCGGAUCUGCGGUGGGUACGGGCAGACUAGAGUGAUGUAGGGGAGACUGGAAUUCCUGGUGUAGCGGUGAAAUGCGCAGAUAUCAGGAGGAACACCGAUGGCGAAGGCAGGUCUCUGGGCCGAUACUGACGCUGAGGAGCGAAAGCGUGGGGAGCGAACAGG
rnacentral:rRNA from 1 species